rnacentral:rRNA from 1 species
AGAGUUUGAUCCUGGCUCAGGAUGAACGCUAGCGGGAGGCCUAACACAUGCAAGUCGAACGGGAUUGGUAGCAAUACCAUGAGAGUGGCGCACGGGUGAGUAACGCGUAUGCAACCUACCUGUAACAGAGGGAUAGCCCAUAGAAAUGUGGAUUAAUAUCUCAUAGUUCUUUUGGUCCGCAUGGAUUGAAAGAUAAAGCUCCGGCGGUUACAGAUGGGCAUGCGUGACAUUAGCUAGUUGGUAAGGUAACGGCUUACCAAGGCUACGAUGUCUAGGGGUUCUGAGAGGAUGAUCCCCCACACUGGUACUGAGACACGGACCAGACUCCUACGGGAGGCAGCAGUGAGGAAUAUUGGUCAAUGGGCGCAAGCCUGAACCAGCCAUCCCGCGUGCAGGAUGACGGCCCUAUGGGUUGUAAACUGCUUUUAUACACCAAGAAAAACUUCCACGUGUGGGAGCUUGACGGUAGUGUAUGAAUAAGCAUCGGCUAACUCCGUGCCAGCAGCCGCGGUAAUACGGAGGAUGCAAGCGUUAUCCGGAUUCAUUGGGUUUAAAGGGUGCGUAGGCGGCUUUUUAAGUCAGUGGUGAAAUCCUGCCGCUUAACGGUAGAAUUGCCAUUGAUACUGAAAAGCUUGAGUACAUUUGAGGUAAGCGGAAUGUGUAGUGUAGCGGUGAAAUGCUUAGAUAUUACACAGAACACCAAUUGCGAAGGCAGCUUACUAAACUGAUACUGACGCUGAUGCACGAAAGCGUGGGGAGCGAACAGGAUUAGAUACCCUGGUAGUCC